rnacentral:rRNA from 1 species
AUUGAACGCUGGCGGCAGGCCUAACACAUGCAAGUCGAGCGAAUGACGGGAGCUUGCUCCUUGAUUCAGCGGCGGACGGGUGAGUAAUGCCUAGGAAUCUGCCUGGUAGUGGGGGACAACGUUUCGAAAGGAACGCUAAUACCGCAUACGUCCUACGGGAGAAAGCAGGGGACCUUCGGGCCUUGCGCUAUCAGAUGAGCCUAGGUCGGAUUAGCUAGUUGGUGGGGUAAUGGCUCACCAAGGCGACGAUCCGUAACUGGUCUGAGAGGAUGAUCAGUCACACUGGAACUGAGACACGGUCCAGACUCCUACGGGAGGCAGCAGUGGGGAAUAUUGGACAAUGGACGAAAGCCUGAUCCAGCCAUGCCGCGUGUGUGAAGAAGGUCUUCGGAUUGUAAAGCACUUUAAGUUGGGAGGAAGGGCAGUAAGUUAAUACCUUGCUGUUUUGACGUUACCGGCAGAAUAAGCACCGGCUAACUCUGUGCCAGCCGCCGCGGUAA